rnacentral:lncRNA from 1 species
GGCAAAGAAGGUCUUUACCGAAUGUUUUUUUGACACUCGGCAAAAAAGCCUUUGCCGAGUGUUUUUCUUUGACAGUCGGCAAAGAGCUCUUUGCCGAGUGCCCGAAAAUAAACACUCGGCAAAGUAUUUAACACUCGACAAAGAUGCGGAUUCCGGUAGUGGCUAACAUGUUAACAGGCAUAAUUGGUGAUUAGUAAGUUUAUGAACAUAUCAAUUUCUAGACAUAUCUCAUAUAGAUUAAAACAGGAUGAAAAAUGGAAUAAGUACAGGUCAAUUCCGGAUGAAAAUAGGAUCCCGUGAAAAUGGGUGAAAAAACUCCUCUCUCCUGUUUCGGUAAAUACGAAAAUACGAUCCCACAAAUACGGAAACAGAAGGAACAAAGUAAAAAAAAAAAGGAACGGGUCGGAACAAGAUCUCUUUUCCUGUCCGUUUUCGUCCUAGCUAGGUUCGUUUUAAAAAAUGGAACCAAAUUUUCUCACCGCCAUGGAUCUUACGCGGAAGAUACAUCUCCUGCAUUGUACUGCUCAGGAGUCAGGACAACCACUAGCAGGGACCUCUCAUUCGUUGCUCCUAGUCCUGUUCGGUCCCGCGCAGAAAAGCACUCACUCCCGUCCAGCACAUGAAAGCAACAAGGAUGCAUACAUUGACAACCCGUCCCAUUCAAUACUGCGCAAAUCAAAUGAUCUAAUAAGUUAGUACGAGUGAUCGUGGAUAAUUCAAAAAGUAAGUAGAAAAGAAACAAAGAAGCUGAGUCCACCAAACAGACAAACAGCAAGGAAACAAAAUUCACUAUCCACACUAGCUCCAAGCCUAGAGAUUUUAGUAAAAAAUUACCCUCCAAUAAAUAUAGUCAUCCUUUAUUUCGAAUUUUUUCUAUCCAAAAAUAGAAGACAGGAAUGGCUCCCUAGAGGAUGCA